UACGUAGGCAGCGAGCGUUGUUCGGAGUUACUGGGCGUAAAGGGUGUGUAGGCGGUUGUUUAAGUUUGGUGUGAAAUCUCCCGGCUCAACCGGGAGGGUGCGCCGAAUACUGAAUGACUAGAGUGUGGGAGAGGUGAGUGGAAUUCCUGGUGUAGCGGUGAAAUGCGUAGAUAUCGGAAGGAACGCCAGUGGUGAAGACGACUACCUGGACCAAUACUGACACUGAGGCGCGAAAGCGUGGGGAUCAAACAGG
rnacentral:rRNA from 1 species